GGUCUGCUAGCUCAGUUGGUUAGAGCGUCGUACUAAUACUCCAGCCAUGGACUAUCGUCCAGCGAUGGAUUAUCGGUGAUGCGAAGGUCAUGAGUUCGACCCUCAUGUGGACCA